rnacentral:rRNA from 1 species
CUGCGGCGUGCCUAAUACAUGCAAGUCGAACGCACUCUCGUUUAGAUUGAAGGAGCUUGCUCCUGAUUGAUAAACAUUUGAGUGAGUGGCGGACGGGUGAGUAACACGUGGGUAACCUGCCCUAAAGUGGGGAUAACAUUUGGAAACAGAUGCUAAUACCGCAUAAAACCUAACACCGCAUGGUGUAGGGUUGAAAGAUGGUUUCGGCUAUCACUUUAGGAUGGACCCGCGGUGCAUUAGUUAGUUGGUGAGGUAAAGGCUCACCAAGACCGUGAUGCAUAGCCGACCUGAGAGGGUAAUCGGCCACACUGGGACUGAGACACGGCCCAGACUCCUACGGGAGGCAGCAGUAGGGAAUCUUCCACAAUGGACGAAAGUCUGAUGGAGCAACGCCGCGUGAGUGAAGAAGGUUUUCGGAUCGUAAAACUCUGUUGUUGGAGAAGAAUGUAUCUGAUAGUAACUGAUCAGGUAGUGACGGUAUCCAACCAGAAAGCCACGGCUAACUACGUG